rnacentral:other from 20 species
CGGGAUCUGCCCGGCGCGUUAGGAACACAUACUCUCGGGGCCUUACGGUCCUCAAGGGAGCUGUCCCUGAGGGAGACUGUGGUCUUCUUCACACGGCGCCCACCUACGUUAGUAGGUCUCCGGGGAACGAAGUUCCGACGGCCGUGGCGGACCCACU